GUGGGGAGAAGAUCUUUCCAAAGUAUCCCACCUGAAUUCUCAAUGACAGGCCCCAUACAAAGCAUCAGGUGGCGUCUCUGAUAACAGGGAUCUGUCGGUGACAUUGGGUACACACCAGGCUUUGUAAGUGACAGUGGUGACUUUCCUGUGUUCUCUUCUGGUGGGGAACUGCAGGGUGUUUCUUCUUGACCCCUUGCCUCAUCGACACACAUUCACCCCCAUUUUCUUUUUAAUCUGUUACAAAAGAACAGAAACAAGACCAAGAAGACAUUAAAACUCUAAAGUUAAAUUAAUAGAGAAGAUUCUCCGAGAUGCUAAACCACGUGGACCUGGAAAGUCUUCCCUCCUUGUUGGCAACCGGGUGCUUGCCUCCUGCCGUCCUGGCUGAGGACCGUGCCUUAGCUCCUGCUCUACAAAAUACAAUGUUGCCAUGACAUAACGCUGGUCUCCAGGGAGCCUCUCAGCCUCGGUGGGAUCUUAUGAAUUUGGAUAUUCAAGAGAGCAGCUUGGACCCACUGUGGCUGGGAGAAUAAACUGCCCACUAAGAUCUGUGGGAGAGUGAAUUAUCCACUAAGGGCUGAGUGGGCUGUGCUUCGCCAACUUUGUUUUCUGUUUAUUUGGAACCGUUACACCGCAGCAGGGGCCUCUCUGGAGUGACCUUUUCAUGAUGCAAAAAUUAGUUUGGGGAAGUUCAAAUUCCCCAAAUGGAACAAUAAUCAGAUGAAAUGACCACAAAGGAAUAAAUUUGCUUCCGAAAUAAAAAGGUACUUAACAAAUGAUUCAUCAUUCCACGCUCUGACCUUAAAUAGAUCUCUCUUUGGCUUCACUGACUAGAAGUCAGUUCUUUUGCUGCCUUUGUUUUUUGUAUAUAACAAGGUUUGUGUGUUUCAUGACAUAGUCUUACUGCUUGUUC
rnacentral:lncRNA from 1 species